UGGGGAUUAUUGCACAACGGGCGCAAGCCUGAUGCAGCCAUGCUGCGUGUAUGAAGAAGUCCUUCGGGUUGUAAAGUACUUUCAGCGGGGUGGAAGGGAGUAAAGUUAAUACCUUUGCUCAUUGACGUUACCCGCAGAAGAAGCACCUGCUUACUCCGUGCCAGCAGCCGCGGUAAUACGGCGGGUGCAAGCGUUAAUCGGAAUUACUGGGCGUAAAGCGCACGCAGGCGGUUUGUUAAGUCAGAUGUGGAAUCCCCGGGCUCAACCUGGGAACUGAAUCUGAUACUGGCAAGCUUGAGUCUCGUAGAGGGGGGUAGAAUUCCUGGUGUAGCGGUGGAAUACGUAGAGAUCUAGUGGAAUACCGGUGGCGAGCGCGGCCCCCUGGACGAGGACUGACGCUCAGGUGCGAAAGCGUGGGGAGCAAGCAGG
rnacentral:rRNA from 1 species